UACGUAGGUGGCAAGCGUUGUCCGGAUUUACUGGGCGUAAAGGGCUUGUAGGCGGUUCGUUAAGUCUGGUGUGAAAUCUCCCGGCUCAACCGGGAGGGGUCAUCGGAUACUGGCGGACUAGAGACAGGUAGAGGAAAGCAGAAUUCCCGGUGUAGCGGUGAAAUGCGUAGAUAUCAGGAGGAAUACCAGUGGCGAAGGCGGCUUUCUGGGCCUGUUCUGACGCUGAGGAGCGAAAGCGUGGGGAGCAAACCGG
rnacentral:rRNA from 1 species